AGUGGGGUGGUGCAUUUGUGAGGAUUCGGUUAAACAUCCGGCGAGAAAACUGCUAGGGACUAGCGUUUCCAGCCUGCUCUCUAUGUUCCACUCUUGUGGAGCCAUCUUAUUUGAGGCUUGAUCUGCACAAGGGAUUCUGGGGAUUGUGGUUUCCAAGCAUAUCCCGGCUGACACCUGAAGGACGCAGCUUAACCGCUCAGCCCCUAGCGGGUCCUGCUGGGCGUACCUUCGACACCUGGGCAGACAGAGAUCCCCCCCAUGAUGCCUAUUUUAUCCUGAUAUCGUCCAACUGCUGAGAGUGGGGGUGGACAGCGUGAUUUACCUCUGCCAAAUGCAGAAGAUUUGGAAGGCAUCUUGGGACCCUUCUCCAUUCCUAGAUUUCCUGAUGGAUGGUGCUGAAGAUUCUUUUCCAUCAUAGGUUAUUACAAAGAUAUUGAAUAUAGUUCCCUCUACUAUACAUGAACUAGCUGGGACAAAUUCUCUUGCCGAAAGUGGAGCUGCAAAGGCACAAGAGAGCAAGUGGAAAUGCACAGGUGCUUUUCCAGCCCCUGCUUGUUCCUGUCUGUUAACAUUCCAUUGGCCAAGGGACAUCUCUUCUCCACAUGGAAUGAGUAAGGUGAAGAGGAAUAGGAGAAUGAAUGAAACUUGGUAAGGGAAGAUGGAAACCCAAGAUGAAAUGAUGAUAGAAUGUGGAAGAAUCCAGAGCUGCUCCAAGUGAGUUCAAACCCCCAGCUUCAAGAAAUAACCUCUUCGGGCCCCAACAAAAGUUCACCAAACAAUUGUCAGUGAUUUGGGAGGACAUCACUGAGAAUAGGAGAGAUAUCAGAAGAUGGGAGACAGUGGGAUAUCCCAAUUUUCAGAAAGAGAAUGAAGGCAGAGCCAGAAAAAUUGUAGACAAUUGUCUGUAACUUCAAUCUCAGGCAAAACACCAGAACGAGUUGCUAGAGGAACAGUUUCAGGUACAAGAUGAAGUAAUGAUUGACUCAGAAUGAGUUCACUAAGGACAAGUCAAGGCUGUUUAUCUCUUUUCUUCUUUGACAGAGUCACUCAUCCAAGAGCUCUGAGAAUGCCCAUGUACAGAGAGUAUUUCAUCAUUGGUUAGACAUUUAUGAGGUUUUUCAUGGUGUUCUUUUGGACAAGAUUGGGAAAUAUGAACUGGACUCUGGCAUACUUGAUGAAUUAGUAACCAGUUGAUUAUAUGCACAAGGUGCUGACUAACACAUUGAUAUCAAACUGUGAGGUAUAUAAUGAUGAGUAAGGAAGUAUAUAAGGAAGCAUAUAAUGAUGAGUCCUAGAGCUGUGUCCAUUUUUCCAUCAUAAAUGCUUUCAGAAUAGAAAUACAUAAGGUGUGCUCAUUAAAUUUAUAGGUAACCUGAAGUUGGAGAUAUAAUGAAGACUUACUUGGAUGACAGAAUCAGAAUCAGUGAGCUGAAUCUAAAAGGAUGAGAUUUGAAAGUUAUUAAUAGGAGGUGUGAGGAACUAAUUAUAUCAGUAAGAAUGGGUUAUACUUGCUUUAGCAGAAACUAAGAACCUUGGCCCAAUUUGAGCCAGAAGUGUAAUGUGGUUGCCAAAAACCCUCAAGAUUUUAGGCUGUAUCCAAUGGGAUAGUGGUAAAAUGUUUAAAAAUUGGCUCUCUGCAGGAAAAACCCCUUAAUGUAUAGCACUUUAUAAUUUCUAUUGUGUAAAUGCUCCCACCAUGGCCAGUUUCAAGCUACCAACAUGAUGUCACUAAACAUAAUUUGGAAAAGAUUUGCAGUGGCACAACAACACAUAGCAGUAUUUCCAUCACACAAAUACAAUUAAUGUAAAUAACCUUAAGAGAGUAGAUAAUAGAGAUAUAUAGUAAAAUAAUUAGGAAGUGAUGUUUUAAGUAUUUUUUACCUUUGUUUUUGAUAUAAUAUAUAUAAGUUGAUAUAAUUUAGCUUUUAAUUAUGGCUGCAUUUAACAGUUGGCCCACACAGUUCUUAAAAAUUUAAUGCUCAGCUCUUGGAACUUUGUGCAUCCAGGCUCCAGGCCAUAGGAACAAAAAAUGUGGUAACUGGAACAAGGGAGGUAAUAGCCCUGUUGUUCUCUGCAAUUGUCAGACCACGCCCGGAUCACUUCAUUCCAGAGCACAUGACUUACAAGUCAAACUGUUCUGAGAUCAGAGCCGAGCAGCCAAGGUGGCAGGAAACCAAAGCCCUAUGGGUGUGGAACUGUGUACAGAAUUAGGGCUGGAGCUCAAAGGGUUUAGGACCAGAGGGACAGGUAAAUGCCUAUUUUCAAAUACCUGGGGGACUAUUGCCUGAGGAAGGGCUGGGCCUACAAUCUGUAAGUGGAAGAAAGGUACAGGGAGACAGGUUUCUGCUCAGGGUAAGAAAGAACUUUCAAAGCUAUCACAAGAGGAAUGGGCUGAAAGUAAUCCUGCAACAGCAUUUAGGUACAAUGUAGAGAUGGUUCAAGUCUCAGAGGAGGUAAUAGGGCCUCACCCAAGUCCCUGUCUUCCUGAAUCUUGAUCCACCGCUCUUUCUAGGCCAGCUCUUAUUAGAAGGGUAGUAAAGUGCGGUUAAAAAAACCUAUUUUUUUUAAUUAAGGAAACUUUCAAAAAUGAAAAAGUAGGGAGUUCCCUUCAUGGCUCAGCAGUUAACAAA